rnacentral:ribozyme from 14 species
UUUUUUUUUUUUUUUUUUUCCUUUGUCAUUUCUCCU